rnacentral:rRNA from 1 species
UACGAAGGGGGCUAGCGUUGCUCGGAAUCACUGGGCGUAAAGGGUGCGUAGGCGGGUCUUAAGUCAGGGGUGAAAUCCUGGAGCUCAACUCCAGAACUGCCUUUGAUACUGAAGAUCUUGAGUUCGGGAGAGGUGAGUGGAACUGCGAGUGUAGAGGUGAAAUUCGUAGAUAUUCGGAAGAACACCAGUGGCGAAGGCGGCUCACUGGUCCGGUACUGACGCUGAGGUGCGAAA